GGUUUUCUCGCUGUUAAUAGAGAUCUCUUUAGUGCUUCAUAUGUUGAAACUAGCUGAGUGAUUUGUGCUUCCUAAAGACUAGGUGAAUUAGGUAGCAAGAAGCGUACGCAGUACUUGCUAGUCAUGGCACAACGAGAGUCUUCAAGAAUAAGGAAUAAAGAUACAGGAGAAACUGUUCCAGUUGGAACACCUAUAUCUUUGGUGAAU